GACGAACGCUGGCGGCGUGCUUAACACAUGCAAGUCGAACGAAGUGGCGAACGGGUGAGUAACGCGUAAUCAACCUGCCCUUCAGAGGGGGACAACAGUUGGAAACGACUGCUAAUACCGCAUAAUGAAGGAGGGGAUUGCGUCUGAUUAGCUGGUUGGAGGGGAAAAGGCCCACCAAGGCGAUGAUCAGUAGCCGGUCUGAGAGGAUGAACGGCCACAUUGGGCCUGAGACACGGCCCAGACUCCGGCGAGAGGCAGCAGUGGGGAAUCUUCCGCAAUGGACGAAAGUCUGACGGAGCAACGCCGCGUGAGUGAUGACGGCCUUCGGGUUGUAAAGCUCUGUUAAUCGGGACGCGGUACCGGAAUAGAAAGCCACGGCUAACUACGUGCCAGCCGCCGCGGUAAUUC
rnacentral:rRNA from 1 species